rnacentral:rRNA from 1 species
GGAUUAGGCAUGCAAGUCGAACGGUAGAGUUCCUUCGGGGACUUGAGAGUGGCGAACGGGUGAGUAACGCGUAGGUUAUCUACCCUCAAAUUGGGGACAACCCAGGGAAACUUGGGCUAAUACCGAAUGAGAGCAUCUUCGGAUGUUUAAAAGAUGGCAGUAAUGCUGUUGUUUGAGGAUGAGCCUGCGUCCCAUUAGUUAGUUGGUAAGGUAAUGGCUUACCAAGGCGAUGAUAGGUAGGCGGCCUUAACGGGUGGUCGCCCACACUGGGAUUGAGAUACGGCCCAGACUCCUACGGGAGGCAGCAGUCGAGAAUAGUCUACAAUGGUCGGAAGUCUGAUAGUGCGACGCCGCGUGAACGAAGAAGCCCUUCGGGGUGUAAAGUUCUUUUAUAUGUGAGCAAUGGGUUUUACGUGAACAGUGUGAGGUCAGGGAUAUUAGCAUAUGAAUAAGCAACGGCUAACUCCGUGCCAGCAGCCGCGGUAAUA